AUAUGCUGAUGUUGACACAAAAGGUGGGGUCUCUCAGACUAUAAAAAAUUGUGGACACAUUAUUCCAAUCUUACUUUGAUGCUCAUUCAUUUAACAUAUUUGUAUGCAUCCGUUUUCAACUCUCAAAGACUGUGGUGGAGAAUCCAACAAUGCAGACCAUGGAUAUUGAUGAUGACACGUCUCCCAACAAGCCCAGUGUUACAUUUUCAGCUAAUUUUCUGUGGUGGAAGAGACCCUCUGGAGUUGCUGCAGUGUGUCUGGGGCUGCUGUGUGUUCUCCUAUUGGCUGGGAUCAUAGGCCUGUCUGUCUACUAUGGAGUCAUUGAUCAUCACUACUCAACAGAGGGAGACCAACAGACCAGUUACAGCCUUCUGACUAAAGAAGGAGAUCUGCAACCAACCAGUUAUAAUAACUUGACAAAAGAGGGAGCCGAGCUACAGAGCAGUUACAACACCUUAACU